AUCAUUUCUUUUUAAUGUUUUAACUUGUUUUGCAAGCCUUGACUACGUCAAUUUUGAAGACCUAGGUACAUCUGCUCGUAGGUGAAAAGUUAUAUAAAGGAGGGGGCUGGUGUGGAUUCCUGAUCUGCCUCCCAUUAACAUAAGUACUCAGGAUGGCUCUCAGAUUUUCUACUACCAUUGUCAUGUUUUGCUUCAUUGCGUUUCUCAUCCUUGCUAAUCAUAUUGUUUCCCCUCGACAGCUGAUGUCUGGUCUGGUGGCUAGGGGUCCUGUCUGGGGAACCCCGUCCCCUGGAUCUCGCCCUUGUAUUAAGUCCCAGAAACCGGGGGCGACGGGAUGCUUCCCGCCUCAUUGAGACGCGAAAAUCCGUACGAGAUGCUAGCAAAGCAAUUACCUUGUAUCCAUAUGCUUCCAUACAUUGAAAUUCUAAUUUUUUUGGGGGAAGCAUUUAUCAUAUAUAUAUAUAUAUAUAUAUUGAUAUUCCCGGCCAUUAUAUCUGUCUCUAGUUUAGCAUGCAUCGUUUAUAUAUAUAUAUAUAUAUAUGUUGUAUUCAAAUACAAGAGAAGGGUCAUUUCAUCAUGAGAUCGAUGCCUCCUUAUAAGUGUCAAGCAUGAUGUGCAUGGAAAUGAAUAAAUAUAUAUUUUAAGAUA